rnacentral:rRNA from 1 species
AUACGGAGGAUGCGAGCGUUAUCCGGAAUUAUUGGGUUUAAAGGGUCCGCAGGCGGUUUGAUAAGUCAGUAGUGAAAUUUUCCGGCUCAACCGGGAUACUGCCGUUGAUACUGUAAGGCUAGGAUAUGGUUGCUGUGGGUGGAAUGUGUGGUGUAGCGGUGAAAUGCUUAGAGAUCACACAGAAUAUCGAUUGCGAAGGCAGCUCACAAAGCCAUUAUUGACGCUGAGGCACGAAAGUGUGGGGAUC